GGGUAUAUAGCUCAGUGGUAGGGUGAAUGCUUAGCAUGCUUGAGGUCCUGGGUUCAAUCCCCAGUACCUCCA
rnacentral:tRNA from 1 species